AAGCUCAUAAUGUUUUCGUAUAAUGAAGUAAUCCUCCAAUAGGGAUAGCCGAGAUGAAUCGUGCAACCACGAUUAAUAAUAUUUAGUGAGUUGAGACAAAGAAUUUGUGUAUGGUGAGGUAGUUCAACAUCAAACAAAGGCCUUUUACAUUGUGGCUUUGAAGUUGGCCGGGCGUCCAGACUAUAUAUUAUAUCUUGACAGACUAUAUUUUUAGGCAACUCUCUUCAAAGAGGAACUUUUGGGACAAUAUUAUACGGGGAAUGUCAAAAAUGUGUAACAAAUCAUUAUUUUAAUUAAUACAAUGAUUGGUGUAAUUAAUUAUCUCAUGUGAUAAUAUUUUUUGUCAGAUCACUGCACGCUAUAUUAUAGAGUUAUAAUUGGUCAGAUCUGUGAAGAGAGUCUGAUCACUGAAGGAUCGCUUAGUACAUAGAUCUAGAGUACUGGCGUUAGUAAUAAACUCAUAUGAGCAUAACUCCAUGAGCUUCAAAGCCCGCCACCCAGCGCUUGACAAAUUCAGUGACGAGGAUUGGCUGAGUGAGUCGGUUAUUCUCGACUUGCGACUUUAAGUUAUAAAUAUUUUCUAAAUUAAAUCAAAUUUGAUUUUACGUAUUGCACAACCAGAGCGCCACGAUGUGGAUAACAAUGGUUUCCUGCCCUUCCGUGAUGAUUUAUGUACCGCUCAAAACAGGUAAUGAUUAUUCGAUCCUUAAUUACUCUACACUAUUUCUCUUGGCAUGCAAAUACUCAUCAUAUCACUUAUAGGGUAUUUCAUCCUUUCUUUUACAGGGUAUUUCUAUAUGCAAGACCCCACACUAGCUUAAGAUAUACGUUUACACACAACAACUAAUCGGACCGAAGACAUCGUCAACUUGACAACAUUCAUCGUUAACGUUCGGCAAAACCUGAAAUCGACCCAAUUAAUGAGUUUGAGACAAAUAAUUUUGUGCUCUGUGAGUGGAUUUAAUCGUGAAAAAAAGACCUUAUAUAUUGUGGCUUUGAAGUUUGCCGGGAUUUCAGACUCAAUUAUAUCUUGACCGAAUAUGGUCGACCAAGCCGAGGAUCUGGAUCUUCGUCUCGACACUAUUUCUCCGAUUUUCUCUUGACAGCACUUCAUGAACGCCAUGUCGAUCAAAUCUUUGGCUUCGAAUCUAUUAAUCAAUUUCAAAUUUUGCUGGACCAGUUUCUUCUUCGUGCCAGUCUUCUCGUCUUUUACCGCAACUCACCAGAUUAACAUUGCAAGACAGACUUGUGCAAGCGACCUUGAAACAGCCAUGUUCAUCCCACCGCUGCCGCAAAUUAAUUUGUAACGUGCCGAGCACACUGCUUGAUUCGUAUAUUAACAUACUAUACAACAUGCAGAACAAUAUAUUUGGUUAAAG